UGUAGUUUGUAGUCUAGCAGACC
rnacentral:miRNA from 1 species